AAUUUCUCAACCUCACCAGCUUUUGCUGAGUGUAGGCUUGGAUGUGGGGGUUGCAGGUCCGCUAACGUGGUCUGCUCCUCUGAAAUGUAUUAGUGGGUUGGGCCCCUAAUCUAUUGGUGUGAUAAUUAUCUACGCCGUGGAUUUGGGUGGCUGACUUAGAACCCGCUUCUAACCGUCCUUCACCGGACAACUCU
rnacentral:misc_RNA from 1 species